rnacentral:piRNA from 1 species
UUCCAAAAACAUUUUAAAUAA